rnacentral:rRNA from 1 species
CCGGCACGGGUGGAGUAACACGUAUGCAAUCCACCUGUAACAGGGGGAGAACCGGAGAAAUCCGGACUAAUACCCCAUAAUAUGGGCGCUCCGCAUGGAGGAGCCCAUUAAAGAGAGCAAUUUUGGUUACAGACGAGCAUGCGCUCCAUUAGCCAGUUGGCGGGGUAACGGCCCACCAAAGCGACGAUGGAUAGGGGUUCUGAGAGGAAGGUCCCCCACAUUGGAACUGAGACACGGUCCAA